UACGUAGGGUGCAAGCGUUAUCCGGAAUGAUUGGGCGUAAAGCGUCCGCAGGUGGCUGUGUAAGUCUGCUGUUAAAGAGUGAGGCUCAACCUCAUAAAAGCAGUGGAAACUACACAGCUAGAGUGCGUUCGGGGCAGAGGGAAUUCCUGGUGUAGCGGUGAAAUGCGUAGAGAUCAGGAAGAACACCGGUGGCGAAGGCGCUCUGCUAGGCCGCAACUGACACUGAGGGACGAAAGCUAGGGGAGCGAAUGGG
rnacentral:rRNA from 1 species